rnacentral:lncRNA from 1 species
UUUUUUUUUUACAUUACAUUUGUAAUGCCCCAGUUUGACUGGUUUGCUGAUUCUCAUGAUACAGCUGAAUGAGCUUCUUUCGUGCUCAAGAAGGCGGGUACUCUCAUCAGGAAUCCCCUUCAACAUCAUCUUCCUCUGCCUCGAAUACAAGGAAUUCAAAUUUGGGAGAUGGCGUUGGAUCAUUAUGUUCAAUGGGUUUAGAAAUCCCUGCAUAAUGAUUCUGGAUAACGA